rnacentral:misc_RNA from 1 species
CAUUGCUGUUCUACUUGUCUACAAGUAACUCACUGUUUGUUGUUUUUCAGGCUUAUCCUUUGAGUUCACUACAUCUAAUGACUUGUGAUUGUUGCAGUGAUAUCAACAAGCUUUUGCCUGGUCCUCACUUUGAUCCUCCUUCUAAAGAAGAAGUUAGAGCCUUGAUGCAGGAAUGUGAUAUGAAUCUUGAUGGUGAACUAGAUCAUGAAGAAUUUGUGAAAUUUGUGAAAAGAUUAACAAAGGAUACCUUCAUCACUGUGAGUCAGGGACUGAUUAUUACUUUAGCAGUAGCACCAACAGUUGCUGUGUUAACAAAGAGGACAACAGAAGGAGUCCCUGGUGUUGGGAAAGUGGUGCAGAAAAUACCAAAUGCUGUUUAUGCCUCUCUAGUUACCCUUACAAUAGUCAUGUUUCAGAAAGCAGCUGAGUCUAAGGGAAUUUGAAAUUUGUUUUCUUACAGAACCAAGUUUCUUCUUAUGUGUAUAAGAUAACAGAGACAUCUGCUACACUUGCAAGUUGAUCUAUCAGCAUCUCAUCUGUUGUG